CCUACGGGAGGCAGCAGUGAGGAAUAUUGGUCAAUGGGCGCGAGCCUGAACCAGCCAAGUCGCGUGAGGGAGGACGGCCCUACGGGUUGUAAACCUCUUUUGCCGGGGAGCAACGGGCGCCACGUGUGGCGCCACUGAGAGUACCCGGAGAAAAAGCAUCGGCUAACUCCGUGCCAGCAGCCGCGGUAAUACGGAGGAUGCGAGCGUUAUACGGAUUUAUUGGGUUUAAGGGGUGCGUAGGCGGAUCGUUAAGUCAGUGGUCAAAUUGAGGGGCUCAACCCCUUCCCGCCAUUGAAACUGGCGAUCUUGAGUGGAAGAGAAGUAUGCGGAAUGCGUGGUGUAGCGGUGAAAUGCAUAGAUAUCACGCAGAACCCCGAUUGCGAAGGCAGCAUGCCGGCUUCCGAUUGACGCUGAAGCACGAAAGCGUGGGGAUCGAACAGGAUUAGAUACCCGGGUAGUC
rnacentral:rRNA from 1 species